rnacentral:tRNA from 1 species
AGGCCAAUAGCUCAAUUGGUAGAGCAGCGGUCUCCAAAACCGCAGGUUGGGGGUUCGAUACCCUCUUGGCCUGCCA